rnacentral:rRNA from 1 species
UACGUAGGGUGCAAGCGUUAAUCGGAAUUACUGGGCGUAAAGCGUGCGCAGGCGGUUCGUUGUGUCGGCGGUGAAAGCCCCGGGCUUAACCUGGGAAUGGCCGUUGAAACUGGCGAACUGGAGUGUGGCAGAGGGGGGUGGAAUUCCGCGUGUAGCAGUGAAAUGCGUAGAGAUGCGGAGGAACACCGAUGGCGAAGGCAGCCCCCUGGGCUAACACUGACGCUGAGGCACGAAAGCUAGGGGAGCAAACAGG